rnacentral:snoRNA from 1 species
AAACUGUGAUGUGGGCACUUUCUCAACAAAUCCUUGAAUCUUUCCCAAGCUUCAUACUGUGAACCCCUUCCCCAAAUAU